rnacentral:lncRNA from 1 species
GUAAAGAUAGAACGUUGAAUCAGCAUCCCAGUUCGAUCCCGAAUUCAUUAAGGUAAAGUGUGUUAAUUAUUGGUAAUGGCAUGUACCUAGGAUUUUUUUAUGAGAGUCAUUUAGGUUGUAGAUGUACUCAUGAAAUGAGUAAAUUAUGGCUGGCAACGGUAUGUAGUAUGAAUUUUGAAAUUUACUAAAAAUUCGUAGUGAUUCUAAAUUAGUCCCGAAUUGAAUUUACUGUUCAUAUUGGACCGCGAGGGCCCAUUAAAGGGACGACAUCUUAAAACUAGGAUGUGUGUAAAUAUUUAUUUUAAUUAAUGACCGAAAUUGGACUGUACUGACUGGUAAUGUCUCGUAACCCUGUUCCGAUGAUGGUAUAGGGUUAGGGGGCGUUACAUUUAGUGGUAUCAGAGCUAUUCAGGUUUAGCCGAUUCUCGGACUAAAUCGAACUCGGAAUUGAGUCUAGGGGUACAUGCCAUAAUUGAGUCGAAAUUGAGUCGGGAUCGGAUGCUGAUAUAUUUGUUUGGUACUGUUUUAUAGUGAAAAUGUUAGACAAAAAUAUCGAUGGUAUUGAUUAUGAAAUGUGUACUAGAGACGAAUAGUCUCGUGAAUUAAAUGAAAACUGAAUCAACAACACUGGGUAUAAACUCAAUGGGUAAUUAAUUACUGAAUGAUGACUGAUGAAAUAAUAGAAAAAAAAAUGAUACAUAAUUAUUUAGAAUUAUAACUGAUGUUUUUCAGUGAAUAGAAGAAAUUGUAUUUGUUAUGAUAUCUACCUCUCCUGUUUCUCAAUCGGUUCCCGAAGUGCUUCAAGGUAUAGAGCUUGUCUGAACGGGUAAGUUAUCUGCUGUUAAUGAUCUGGACAUGUAUAUAUAUGGUGUGGAUGAAUUGAGAAUUACAGUUGGGAAUGAUCUUGAAAGAAACUGAAACCUGGUUAGAGAAUAUUAUCGGGAUUAUAAAUGAAUUGUUCUGUUCACCGAUUAAAUGUUAGAAGGGUAUGAUAUUUCUGUUAAAAGAUUUAGGUUAUCAGUGGUAGAAAAAUUGAUUAUGUUGUGAUUAAGAAAGGGUUAUUUGGAAAUUUUCUGAGAUGAGUUCUGAAAGAAAUAUAUAUAUAUCAGUCAGAGAUUUCUUGAUCAGAAACGUACAGAAUUCUUGAAGCUUAAACAGGAUCAUAUAACUGCAAUUGUGUAUGAAGGGAAUUUGUUUGAUUAAAUAAAUAUAUCAGAGGGUAUAUUCCGAUAGAAACUGUAAGGUACAAAUGGUUUGAAGAUGGUUUAAAAGAAGAUAAAAAGUUGAGGAAUGUAGAAUAAAGAGUGGCAUAUGUGAUUAGAUAUGAUGCUUCUGAUUAUUAUCUUAGUGAUUGCUUGAAGAAAAUUGAAAAAAGACAUUAUUCAAAGUUCAAGACCGAGUAAUGUAGUUAACAGAGGUAGGUUACCCUGUAAUCUCAAAAAUACGAGUGAAAGCCGAACUGUUACAAAUGACUUCACUGUAAAAUCUGGAGAAUGAACAUCAGCCAGGGUAUAUGUUAAUUAUAUAUGAGAAGAUUUAUCUCUACCGGAUGUCAUUACAGGAACUUUCUUCUUUAUCGACACUAAUAUGAUUAUUUCAAAUUGAUCCUGGUUUGACUAUUCCUAUGAUUACAUAAGUUCAGUAUCUAUUAAAGAUUUGCCUGUUGGGUUUGCUGAAAUUUUUGGGUUGAAGCAUUAAAUUUUUCAGAUUAGUAUUUAUGGGCUGAUAAGAUCUGCAGGAACUGUUUGAUUAUGAUACUACUGUUUUCUGAACGAUUUGAUGUUCUUACUGUUUGAUAUAAUCUCAAUAAUGGAAUGGUUAAUUCUGCAUGAUAUGGUGGUAAAUUAUAAGCAGAAGUAUAAUAUGUUGCAAGAUCAAGAUGAUGAAAUGUUUUGUUGAAUCAGAGAAGAUUGAGCUAAUUGUCUAUGUGAUAUUGAACAUGCCAACAUAGAUAUAUGCCGAAAAGGGGUCAUGGUAAUUACCUUGUUUAUGUAUUAAAUAUUAAAAUAUUUAAGUUAAGGUUUAAAUCAGUGGCAAUAGUGCAAGAGAAUUCUAAUGUGUUUCCAGAAGAGUUACCCGAACUACUGUUGAUUGAAGAAGUUGAAUGUGCUAUAGAUUUUGUAACUGAAAUGAUAGUGAAAAAUAUAUUUGAAAUCAGAGGUUUUCUAAAACUAGUCGGUUAUUAUAGAAAGAUGUGGAAUUGGAAUGAUCUGAUAGACGUUAGCAAGGUUCUGAUUAGUUGAAAGCUCUGUUAACUGAAGCACUAGUUCUGGUUCAGUCUGAAAUCCGAUAAAGAAACUUGUGGUUUACAGGGAUAGCAGUGUUUUGAUGCAAAAAUAAAAAAUAAAAAAAAUAAAAAAAUGAAGUAAUGGUUUAUGUUACGAAAUGUUAGAAUCACAUGGGAAGAAUUAUUUGAUACCUGAUUCGGAAGUGGUAGUUAUUGUUCUUGUAUUAAAAGAUCAAGAUAUGAUAAUUAAUUAUCAUCCGAAAAGACAAUGAAUGUAUGCAUAUUCAAGUUGAAAGCUUUGUUUUGUGUUAUGAGCUAUGAACAUCUGACUGUUAUCAUUUGAAGAUGGUUCAAUUUUGGUAGAGAUAAAAAAAUUAAACCGACUUCUUUACAGCAGAUCUGCGAAGCUCAGAAAUGUGGUAAUGAGUUAUCGAUUAAAUGGAUAUAGUAUACAGAUUUCUGAUUAAACAUUUCAGAUUGGAUAUGAUGGUUGUUUGCUAUUUAGAAAUACAAGCUGAACAGAGAGAUUCAGAACUUAUACAGGAGAAUUUGCAUGAAAUUAUAGUAGUACUAUGUCUAUGCAUUUUGGAAGAAUAAGAUGUACAGUGAUUUGAGGAAGAUGUGUUGAAGACUGGGAAAGAAAAUUAGUACUUUGAAAUUGUAUAUAAAUGUUUAUAUCAGAUACAGAUAUCUUCAGAACUGUUACAGCUAGAAAGGAUAUCAGAAUGGAAGUGGGAUAUAAUUUCUAUGGGUUUGAAUUGGAAUUAUCUCGAUCUUUGAAAAAGAAAGACGGUAUUUGAGUAAUCAUCGAAGGUAUGGUGAAGCUUGUAUAUUGUAUUCUAGUAUGAAUAAGUUUCUUACUCAAUAAUUGUUUGAAAUCUAGGUUUCUGAGAUUAUCAGAUUACAUGGUAUGGUGGUUUCUAUUAUUUUUGAUUGAGAUACGUGGUUUAUACUCUGAUUAUAGAACAAGUACAAGAAGUUCUGGGUGCGUAAUAAUAGUUUUCAACACUGUAUGAAGUUCUGAAUAAUGAUUGAUGUAAAACUGCAUGGGAUUUGAUUAAAUACAGUGAGAAAAAGAAUAUGCAGAGUUGUUUAAUUCGUGAAAUUGAAGAAAAGUGGAAGUGAUUCGAAAUAGAUUGAAAGUAAUUUUGACAGAUAAGAAUCAUAUGUGGACUUGAAACGUUGGGAUAUUGAGUAUUUAAUUAGUGAUAUGAUAUUUCUUAAAGAUCCACCUUGGAAGAAAAUUUUAAAGAUCAGGUUGAAAAAGAAAUUGAGUUCUUGUUCUGUUGGGCUAUGUGAAGUUGUAGAAAAGUCAAAUUGGUAAAAUAUUGCUUGGUUUUGCUUCUAAAGUUACAGAAAGUUUAUGAUAAUUUUUCAUGAUUUGAAGCUCAGAAGAUUAUAGAGAUCAAAUCUCUUGCAUGUUAUACCGACAAAGGAUAUUGAGAUUUGAUGUAAUCUAUAGUAUGAAAAAGAGCCGGUUGAGAUACUAGCCCGAGCGGUAAUGUCAUAAUAUUGAAGAAGCAAUAUGGGAACCGAGAGGAACAGCGAGAUCUUUGUACUUAUACCCCCACCUCUCUCAGGUAAAUUUCGAGGACGAAAUUAUAAAAGGGGGGGAGAAUUGUAACGACCCGAAUUUUACCGUUACCAAAAAAGUGUAUUUUCGGGUCUCCGUUUCUGAAAAAUGGAUUCGUAAAUAUUUAUUAAAAAUAUUUACGAAGUCAAUUGAGUGGUUAAUUAGAGUUUAAUUAAGUAAAUUUAGUUUAAUUAAGAGUAAUUAGGAAAAAUGACUAAAUUGAAUAAAGGAUGAAAGUUGAAUUGUAGAAUAAAAGAAAAUGAAGAGGACCAAAAUGGCAAUUAUGCCAUUUGUCCUAAGUGAGGCGGCAUAAACAUAAAAAUCUGAGAUUUUUUUAUGUGUUAAAAUAUAUAUAUUAAAUUAUUAUUAUAUUAUAGUAUAUUAUAUUAUAUUAUAUAUUAUAUAAAUAAGUAAAGAAACAUAAGAAACAGAAUGAAAGCAAACGAAACAAGAAGAAACAGGGGAGAAAGAAAGAAAGAAAAAGAAAAAGGAAAAUUUGGGUUUCAAGGCUCAAAGUUUAAUUUGGUAAGUCAAUUAAGUCAUUUCUUCUUAAAUUUUGAUGUUUUAGAAGCUUUGGAACAAGACUUUGAUGAAAUUAAGUUGAUAUUUUGAGAGUUUAUAGAUUUUCAAGUAUAGUUCAUGUUGAAUAAAAUAGUGAAUUAAGGGUUUAAUUGAGUAAAUUUCAAGCUAGAAUUAAUAAUAUGAUCAAAUUGUAAAGUAAGUUAUAAGUUUUAUGUUGUAGGGACUAAAUUGAUGAAAUUUUGAAAUUAGGAAAGUAUGCUGGAAAUUUAAUAUUUAAAUGAGAGUAUGGAUGAAAUUUGAAUAGAAAUAAAGUAUGAAUUAAGAUAGAAAAGUAAGUGAAUUUAGUUAGAAUUAAAUUGAAAUUAAAGUAAAUCAACAUUUUGUACUAAGACUAUUUUGGACAGCAGCAGUAGUCUAAGUUUGAAAAAUCACCAAAAAUUGUAGAAAUUGAAUUAGAGGAUGAAUAAAAUAUAAAAUUAAAUAUUAUUGAGUCUAGUUUCUUAUAGAAGAAACGAUAUAAGCAAUUGAAUUGUAAAUUAUGAGAUAUAAUGAAUUUUGUGAGACAAGGUUAGAAUGAAUUUGGGUUCCCCUGUUCUGACUUUGGAAAAUCACCAAAAAUUGAAUAAAAAUAAUUAGAGGCUUAAAAUUAUAUGUUUAGAAUCCCUAAUGAGUCUAUUUUCAUUAGAAAUCAACGAGAAUGUUAUCCGAGUUCUGUACUGUGAGAUAAUUAAUUUUUAGUGAAGAAGGGACGAAACUGUCAGACAGCAGAAUAGGGGUGAAUUUAAAGAAUAAACUGCACUUAAUGGCUAAACCAAAAAUUCUGAAAAUUUUAUUGUAAGAAGAUUUGUGAGUCUAGUUUCAGGAAAAAUUAGCGGAUCUUAAUUUAGAAUUCUAUAACUCAAGAUAUGAAUUAGUAAUGUAUUAAUGAUUAUGAAUUGUAUUAAUUUCGUAGUCAAUGUGGUACCAGAAAUCUCGGCUAAGAAAGGACAAGACAAAGUCAAUGGGAGUUAGCUCGAAAAUUACGGUUUGUAUUUCUAUAAUCCGAACCUAAUACUUAAUUGUUGAAUUUAUUUCUUAAUAUGUAUAUUAAGUGUUUUGAAGUAAGAAUUAUUGUGUUUUGCAAAUGAAAUGGAUUGAUAUAGUAUGUGAUGAAAUUAUUGAAUUUAUAUUGAUUGAAUUGGCGUAUAUAUAUAGAUAUAUAUAUUGAAUAUUGAAUAUAUAUUGAUUAUUUGAAUUGAAUUGAAAUAUAAAUUGUUUGAAAAUUUUAAAUAUGAGAUUUGUGAUAUUUGGAUAUUUGUUAUUGAAAAGUGAAUUGAAUUGUAUUGAAUUAUGAAUUUAUGUGAUUAAUUAAAAUGUGUAUUGAUUGAAAAAAAUUGAAAGUGAAUUGAAUACCCUAUUAACAGUAUCGGGCUGAGUCGGAUAUAGUUGGCAUGCCAUAGGAUUGGAAGUGUUCAGGGAUUCUUCGACCUCGAGUCGAUGAGACACUGGGUGUCACUAUAUUUCUUCGGAUAGAUUCGAUGAGGUACUGGGUACCAACUUUACUUCGGCUAGGCCGAUGAGACACUGGGUGUCAAAUAUUGCUUCGAACUAUCCGAUGAGGCACUAGGUGCCAUAUUGGUGUGUUUGGUUGGAUCCGUGUAUCCGCCAAGGUCCGAGUCUUGUUAAUAGGGGUAAAUAAGUGAAAAGAUAAGUCGAGUGAAUUUGAUUGAUUGAGCUAUUGGAAUGAAAUGAGAAAUUGAAUUGAGAAUUGAAAUUGAGAUAUGAGAUUGAAAACAUGAACCAAAAGGUUCAUGAAAUGAGUGAAGUUCAAAUGGAUGAUGAUUGAUGUUAAAAUGAAUUAAAAUGGCAUAUUGUUAAGAAAUAAAGUGUGAAAACAAGUGAAUUGUGAAUAUAUUGUAUAGAAUUUAUACGGUAAGUAAAUGAAAAGAAUUGAACAAAUAUGUUAUUGUGUUUGUUAUAUGACUUGUAUAGAAUUUAUAUGGUAAGUAAUUGAAAAUUUAUCUAUAAAACAAAUAAAUGAAUACUUAUAAUUGUUAUUGUGAUUUUAAGUUUAAUUGUUAUAUUAUUAAGUGUUCGGAUUAUGGAAAUACCACUGAGUAUACCAUACUCAGCGUACGGUUUGUUUCCGUGCGCAGGUUUAGUAAAGAUAGAACGUUGAAUCAGCAUCCCAGUUCGAUCCCGAAUUCAUUAAGGUAAAGUGUGUUAAUUAUUGGUAAUGGCAUGUACCUAGGAUUUUUUUAUGAGAGUCAUUUAGGUUGUAGAUGUACUCAUGAAAUGAGUAAAUUAUGGCUGGCAACGGUAUGUAGUAUGAAUUUUGAAAUUUACUAAAAAUUCGUAGUGAUUCUAAAUUAGUCCCGAAUUGAAUUUACUGUUCAUAUUGGACCGCGAGGGCCCAUUAAAGGGACGACAUCUUAAAACUAGGAUGUGUGUAAAUAUUUAUUUUAAUUAAUGACCGAAAUUGGACUGUACUGACUGGUAAUGUCUCGUAACCCUGUUCCUAUGACGGUAUAGGGUUAGGGGGCGUUACAAGUCAAAUCAUAAUUUCAUUAAACACGGAAUGACUCAUUAAGUAAAUAAACCAACGAUCCAUAGUGCGCGGAUCCUUCCCGGAUCGGGUCACCGUUCGGAUCGGGUCUUCAAAACGGCGCCGUUUCAAUGCCAUUGUAUUGGCUCUGAACAGUGACGUUUUAAGUCCUGCGUUUAAAACUAAAAAAAACCUAAAACUAUUGUUUACAUUAAAUCAAAACUUAAACUUAAAAGACUCUGCGUCGUUCUGUGUUCCUCAAGCAUGCAAACAACUUUUGAUUUCAACCUAUUCUCCGAUGACAACGGAGAAGGCCGAAAUCCUAUUGCCAGGUAUGUUUUUCCCUUCUCUUACUGCUUCUUUCCUUAAGAAACUAAUAACCAAUGUAAAAGCGAAAGAAAAGAAAAGAAAAUCCAAAAACAAUCCGUCAAAAGAAAAGUAAAAGAAACUCCGAAAAUCACCUCUUAGAAUUUUGAUUUUUUCUUGUGUAUUCAAUUGAUCUGAAUGCGUGUGUGUGUUUUUUGUGUGUUCGUACCCGAUUACAUGGCUCUCUGUUUGUUCUUAUAACCGAAAUCCGUGAGAAAAAUGAAAAAUAACCCCCCAAAUCCCUUUUUUACAUUUUUCUUAUUUUCUCCUCUUUUUUCUGAUUUGCUGUCGAUUUUUCUUUUUUUCUUUGCCUUUUCUGCUUUGUUGCGUUCGUUUGUCCUUCUUGCAGGUACAACGUACGGAGGGUGGACGUGGCACGUACGGAGGCACGCGCGAGGGCAAAGGCUCGGAGCAUACGGAGGCUGGUCACGCGCGGAAGGCUUGGUUGCGUUAUGAUUGGGCUAGGGGUAUUGGGCUUAGGCUAAUUGGGUUUAGGCUAAUAGAGUUUAGUUUACUAGGUUGUGUUGAUUUUGAGUUUGUAAAAACUGGACAUUGUUUAUUGUUUUGGCUUUUAUAUUUUUUGUUUAUUUAAUCUGUAUGGGCCAGGGCUAAAAUUGGGCCUAACAAUAUUUAUACAAUAAUGGCGCUGGAGAAUGGUCAAAGAUUAUUUUAAUUGAUGAUGGGGA